UACGUAGGGGGCUAGCGUUGUCCGGAUUUAUUGGGCGUAAAGAGCGUGUAGGCGGCCAGGUAGGUCUGCUGUGAAAACUCGAGGCUCAACCUCGAGACGUCGGCGGAAACCAUCUGGCUAGAGUCCGGAAGAGGAGAGUGGAAUUCCUGGUGUAGCGGUGAAAUGCGCAGAUAUCAGGAGGAACACCUAUAGCGAAGGCAGCUUGCUGGGACGUUACUGACGCUAAGGCGCGAAAGCGUGGGGAGCGAACAGG
rnacentral:rRNA from 1 species